rnacentral:misc_RNA from 1 species
CCAAGUACCAACAGAGUUGUGUAAGCACACUAGAUUUGUCUGACUGCAAUCUUACAAGCCCCCAGUAAUAGAGAAUUAUUUGACCAUUCAUGUAUUAGUGAUUAAAACCCUGGUAAGAGGGGAAAAAAAACAACCAAACAAAGAUCACAGAGAGUAAACAUGGGAUGGAAGGCGAGGUUCAGCAACAACAACAAGAGGGAAUUUUCUAGGAGUAGAAAACCCAAAAAUUUCCUCCAUGUUCA